rnacentral:rRNA from 1 species
GAUGAACGCUGGCGGCGUGCCUAAUACAUGCGAGUCGAGCGAACAGACGAGGAGCUUGCUCCUCUGACGUUAGCGGCGGACGGGUGAGUAACACGUGGAUAACCUACCUAUAAGACUGGGAUAACUUCGGGAAACCGGAGCUAAUACCGGAUAAUAUAUUGCACCGCAUGGUUGAAUAGUGAAAGACGGUUUUGCUGUCACUUAUAGAUGGAUCCGAGCCGCAUUAGCUAGUAGGUAAGGUAAAGGCUUACCAAGGCGACGAUGCGUAGCCGACCUGAGAGAGUGGUCGGCCACACUGGAACUGAGACACGGACCAUACUCCUACGGGAGGCAGCAGUAGGGAAUCUUCCGCAAUGGGCGAAAGCCUGACGGAGCAACGCCGCGUGAGUGAUGAAGGUCUUCGGAUCGUAAAACUCUGUUAUUAGGGAAGAACAAAUGUGUAAGUAACUAUGCACGUCUUGACGGUACCUAAUCAGAAAGCCACGGCUAACUACGUG